rnacentral:rRNA from 1 species
GAUGAACGCUGGCGGCGUGCCUAAUACAUGCAAGUCGAGCGAAUGGAUUAAGAGCUUGCUCUUAUGAAGUUAGCGGCGGACGGGUGAGUAACACGUGGGUAACCUGCCCAUAAGACUGGGAUAACUCCGGGAAACCGGGGCUAAUACCGGAUAACAUUUUGAACCGCAUGGCUCGAAAUUGAAAGGCGGCUUCGGCUGUCACUUAUGGAUGGACCCGCGUCGCAUUAGCUAGUUGGUGAGGUAACGGCUCACCAAGGCAACGAUGCGUAGCCGACCUGAGAGGGUGAUCAGCCACACUGGGACUGAGACACGGCCCAGACUCCUACGGGAGGCAGCAGUGGGGAAUCUUCCGCAAUGGACGAAAGUCUGACGGAGCAACGCCGCGUGAGUGAUGAAGGCUUUCGGGUCGUAAAACUCUGUUGUUAGGGAAGAACAAGUGCUAGUUGAAUAAGCUGGCACCUUGACGGUACCUAACCAGAAAGCCACGGCUAACUACGUGCCAGCCGCCGCGGUAA